rnacentral:rRNA from 1 species
ACACCCAGGUUGGGGAAGGCGGCUCUCCGGUCUCGUAACUGUACCUUAGGCGCGAAAGGCUGGGGGAGCAAACCACGGAUUAGAGUACCCUUGUUGGUUCACGCCGUAAACGAUGAGUGCUAAGUGUUAGAGGGUUUUCCCCUUUAGUGCCGAAGUUAACCGCAUUAAGCCCUCCCGCCUGGGGAGUACGGCCGCAAGGCUGAAACUCAAAGGAAUUGACGGGGGCCCGCACAAGCGGUGGAGCAUGUGGUUUAAUUCGAAGCAACGCGAAGAACCUUACCAGGUCUUGACAUCCUCUGAAAAUCCAAGAGAUAGGUCUUUUCCUUCGGGAGCAGAGUGACAGGUGGUGCAUGGUUGUCGUCAGCUCGUGUCGUGAGAUGUUGGGUUAAGUCCCGCAACGAGCGCAACCCUUGAUCUUAGUUGCCAUCAUUAAGUUGGGCACUCUAAGGUGGCUGCCGGUGACAAACCGGAGGAAGGUGGGGAUGGCGUCAAAUCAUCAUGCCCCUUAUGGCCUGGGCCACACACCUGCUACAAUUGGCGGUACAAAGAGCUGCAAGACCGCGAGGUGGAGCUAAUCUCAUAAAACCGUUCUCAGUUCGGAUUGUAGGCUGCAACUCGCCUACAUGAAGCUGGAAUCGCUUGUAAUCGCGGAUCCACAUGCCGCGGUGAAUACGUUCCCGGGCCUUGUACACACCGCCCGUCACACCACGAGAGUUUGUAACACCCGAAGUCGGUGGGGUAACCUUUUUGGACCAGCGUCUAAUGUGACAGACCUGUCCCCUGCUCGUU